GGAAGCGACGUCAUCCUCACUAGUUCGAGCAAUUCUCGAGCAAUAAAAUAUGUGAGUGGACCCCUUCAUAACUUAUAUAUUUUUACAAAAUAUAGCCUAGCAUGCAUUUCAUAUUUCAUGCAUUUAAUAUGUUUUAUAUUAUGUUUUCCGGGUUUCUAUCAUUAUGGUUUAUAUAGAAUUCAUGAUUUAAUUAAAUUUCUUUACGAAAUAUUUAUAAUUUAUAGAAUUCACAUUUAAUAAUGGUUAUGAAUUAUUGGAAUUUUAUAUAUGAAACUCCUUGGACUUACAAAUAUGUUUUAUAUACGAUUUAUGAAUUGAGAUUUCGAACCCUGGAGUUUUGGUGAUUUGGCUGGAGAUUUUGAGAUAUGUUUUGGUACUUACGUAGU
rnacentral:lncRNA from 1 species